UACGUAGGGUGCAAGCGUUAAUCGGAAUUACUGGGCGUAAAGCGUGCGCAGGCGGUGAUGUAAGUCAGGUGUGAAAUCCCCGGGCUUAACCUGGGAACUGCAUUUGUGACUGCAGGGCUGGAGUGCGGCAGAGGGGGAUGGAAUUCCGCGUGUAGCAGUGAAAUGCGUAGAUAUGCGGAGGAACACCGAUGGCGAAGGCAAUCCACUGGGCCUGCACUGACGCUCAUGCACGAAAGCGUGGGGAGCAAACAGG
rnacentral:rRNA from 1 species